rnacentral:rRNA from 1 species
UACGUAGGGGGCAAGCGUUGUCCGGAAUCAUUGGGCGUAAAGCGCGCGUAGGCGGCCCGAUCAGUCCACUGUAAAAGUCCAGGGCUCAACCCUGGAAAGCCGGUGGAUACUGUCGGGCUAGAGUCCGGAAGAGGCGAGUGGAAUUCCUGGUGUAGCGGUGGAAUGCGCAGAUAUCAGGAGGAACACCGAUAGCGAAGGCAGCUCGCUGGGACGGUACUGACGCUGAGGUGCGAAAGCGUGGGGAGCGAACAGG